rnacentral:rRNA from 1 species
GACUCUUUUGAAUUUUUCAGUAUCUUCUGAGUAAAAAAAACAAUAAAUCAAAACUUUCAACAACGGAUCUCUUGGUUCUGGCAUCGAUGAAGAACGCAGCGAAAUGCGAUAAGUAAUGUGAAUUGCAGAAUUCAGUGAAUCAUCGAAUCUUUGAACGCACAUUGCGCCCGCCAGUAUUCUGGCGGGCAUGCCUGUUCGAGCGUCAUUUCAACCCUCAAGCUCUGCUUGGUGUUGGGGAUCGGCAAGGCGUCCUCCGGGUCGCGCCGUCCCCCAAAUAUAGUGGCGGUCUCGCUGUAGCUUCCUCUGCGUAGUAAUACACCUCGCUCUGGAGUCUCGGUGCGACCACGCCGUAAAACCCCCAACUUUUUUCUGGUUGACCUCGAAUCAGGUAGGACUACCCGCUGAACUUAAGCAUAUCAAUAAGCCGGAGGAA